CACGUAGGAGACUAGCGUUAUCCGGAUUUACUGGGCGUAAAGCGCGUGCAGGUGGCUCGGAAAGUUCGAUGUGAAAGCUCCCGGCUUAACUGGGAGAGGUCGUUGAAUACUUUCGGGCUAGAGGAUGGGAGAGGGAGGCGGAAUUCCGGGUGUAGUGGUGAAAUGCGUAGAUAUCCGGAGGAACACCAGUGGCGAAAGCGGCCUCCUGGCCCAUUUCUGACACUCAGACGCGAAAGCUAGGGUAGCAAACGGGAUUAGAAACCCCCGUAGUCC
rnacentral:rRNA from 1 species